ACCAGACUCCUACGGGAGGCAGCAGUGGGGGAUAUUGCACAAUGGGGGGAACCCUGAUGCAGCGACGCCGCGUGGGUGAAGAAGUAUUUCGGUAUGUAAAGCCCUAUCGGCAGGGAAGAAAUUGGACGGUACCUGACUAAGAAGCCCCGGCUAACUACGUGCCAGCAGCCGCGGUAAUACGUAGGGGGCAAGCGUUAUCCGGAUUCACUGGGUGUAAAGGGAGCGUAGACGGCCAUGCAAGCCUGGAGUGAAAGCCCGGGGCCCAACCCCGGGACUGCUCUGGGAACUGUGCGGCUGGAGUGCGGGAGGGGCAGGCGGAAUUCCUGGUGUAGCGGUGAAAUGCGUAGAUAUCAGGAGGAACACCGGCGGCGAAGGCGGCCUGCUGGACCGUGACUGACGUUGAGGCUCGAGAGCGUGGGGAGCAAACAGGAUUAGAUACCCCUGUA
rnacentral:rRNA from 1 species